rnacentral:lncRNA from 1 species
CAGCUCCACACCCUUGUUCCAUGUUCUGGAUUGGGGAGUUGUGGGGGUGGAGGUGUAGAACUUUUAAAAAGCUUCUUAAAAUAAGUUGCUGUGAAUACUUCAGGUAUAUAAAAAAACAUUGGUUGACAAUAAGCCAGUGUUCUGCCAUUCUUACCUGCUUAUCAAGACAAAACCUGCUCAAGUCCCUGCCCAGCUGCAUUCCAAGUGUUUUCAAGUUUGGUGGUAAGACCUGACCUGAGGCUUCUUAUAACCUUUACUCAGUGGGAAUAUGCAUACAGUUCACUACAGAAAUAUUUGUAUUUACUUAGAGGAAGUGCCCUGGAUCUGGGGGCGGGGGGGGGCGGGGGGAAUGGGUCUUUUCUAAAUUGUUAAAAGCAGUUCAUGCCAUUAUUCUUAAUAAACAUUUCUAAUAUGCUGUGAAAGAG